rnacentral:rRNA from 1 species
AUAUGCUAAGUGCACCUUCCGGUACACUUACCUUGUUACGACUUACCUCGUCUUCAGUGGCUAGUGUUGUAUUAGUUAGUGUGUUUGGGGGUCCUGUGAAGAGGGUGACGGGCGGUGUGUACGUGCUCUAGGACCGGCUUAAAGGAGGCUUGGUUAUCCUACUUUACUGCUAAAUCCGCCUUCUGGGGACAGGUUUCAAGUCCCCUUUCGUUGGGUUUUCUAUUUUAGAAAAUGUAGCCCAUUUCUUCCACUUCAUGGGCUAUACCUCGACCUGUCUUGUUAGUGGGUUGUGGGCUGUUGGGCUCACUGUUGUGCUCUCAUAAGGUGGGCUGGUGACGGCGGUAUAUAGGCUGUUUUGGCAAGAAGUGGUCGGGUGAAUCGUGGGUUAUCGAUUACAGAACAGGCUCCUCUAGGUGGGUUUAGAGCACCGCCAAGUCCUUAGAGUUUUAAGCGUUUGUGCUCGUAGUUCUCAGGCGGAUGUUUGUGUUUGGGGGUCAUCAAGAUUUAGGGCUAAGCAUAGUGGGGUAUCUAAUCCCAGUUUGUGUCCUAGCUUUGGUGGGGUGGAGUAGAUCGUGGGUGCUAAGAUCGUCUUCAGGUUGGACUUAGGGGUGCCUUAAGCUUAUGACGGCUUGGGCAGGGUUUGGUCUUAGUUUGGUGUGAUAGUUUGAGCCCACUCUUUACGCCGUGUAUAGUUAACUUGGGCUUCUUGUGUGACCGCGGUGGCUGGCACAAGAUUUACCAGCCCUGGUUGCUCUAGCUAAGUCAGGCUUUCGCUUAUUGCUUAAGGUUGAUUACUGCUGAGUACCCGUGGGGGUGUGGCGAGGCGGGGCGUUUUAGGCUACAGUGAGUGAGUGUGCCUGAUGCCUGCUCCUUGUACCUUGGCAGGGGAUCUGGGGCAUUUGCACUGGGGCGCGGAUACUUGCAUGUAUAUGCUGAGCAAGAGUUAACGAUAAGGUUAGGACUGAGUCUUUU